rnacentral:rRNA from 1 species
GAUCAUGGCUCAGGAUGAACGCUAGCGGCAAGCCUAACACAUGCAAGUCGAGGGGCAUCGGGAUUGAAGCUUGCUUCAAUUGCCGGCGACCGGCGCACGGGUGCGUAACGCGUAUGUAACCUACCUAUAACAGGGGCAUAACACUGAGAAAUUGGUACUAAUUCCCCAUAAUAUUCGGAGAGGCAUCUCUCCGGGUUGAAAACUCUGGUGGUUAUAGAUGGACAUGCGUUGUAUUAG